rnacentral:rRNA from 1 species
GCGCAGAUAUCGGAAGGAACACCAGUGGCGAAAGCGGCGCCCUGGGGUGGACCUGACGCUGAGAGACGAAAGCUAGGGGAGCGAACAGGAUUAGAGACCCUGGUAGUCCUAGCUAUAAACGAUGGAUGCUAGGUGUGGGCUCGAGAAGACUCCGUGCCGGAGCCAACGCGAUAAGCAUCCCGCCUGGGGACUACGGCCGCAAGGCUAAAACUCAAACGAAUUGACGGGGCCCCGCACAAGCAGCGGAGCGUGUGGUUCAAUUCGAUGCUACACGAAGAACCUUACCUGGGUUUGACAUGGAGGUGGUAGGGAAGCGAAAGCGGACCGACCCUUCGGGGAACCUUCACAGGUGCUGCAUGGCUGUCGUCAGCUCGUGCCGUGAGGUGUCGGGUUAAGUCCCGUAACGAGCGCAACCCUUGCCCUUAGUUACAAGUGUCUAAGGGGACUGCCGGCGGUAAGCCGGAGGAAGGUGGGGAUGACGUCAAGUCAGCAUGGCCCUUAUAUCCAGGGCUACACACACGCUACAAUGGUCGGUACAAAGGGCAGCGAAGCCGCGAGGUGAAGCGAAUCCCACCAAAGCCGAUCGUAGUUCGGAUUGCAGGCUGCAACUCGCAUGCAUGAAGCUGGAGUUGCUAGUAACCGCGCGUCAGCCAUAGUGCGCUGAAUACGUUCCACGGGGCUUGUACACACCGCCCGUCACGUCAUGGGAGCCGGUNACGCCUGAAGCCGGUGGCUCAACUCGCAAGAGGGAGUCCGUCUAAGGCGGGG